AAAGAGGAGGAGGAGGAGGAGCAGGAGAUGGUUGCCUCAGCUUCAGAGGGUAGGACCCAUAGAAGUUUAAUUCUAUCUGUUCUGCGAGGGUGGGCAGAAGAGGAGGAAGAGGAUGAGGAGAUUGGGAGUAAUCCUCCUGAUGACGACAGCGAAGUCUCGCCUGUUGGUACUCUGGCACACAUGGCUGACU